AGAGUUUGAUYMUGGCUCAGAUUGAACGCUGGCGGCAGGCUUAACACAUGCAAGUCGAACGGUAGCACAUAGGAGUUUGCUCCUUGGGUGACGAGUGGCGGACGGGUGAGUAAUGCUUGGGAAUCUGGCUUAUGGAGGGGGAUAACUACUGGAAACGGUAGCUAAUACCGCGUAAUGUCUUAGGACUAAAGGGUGGGACCAUUUGGCCACCUGCCAUAAGAUGAGCCCAAGUGGGAUUAGGUAGUUGGUGAGGUAAAGGCUCACCAAGCCCGCGAUCUCU
rnacentral:rRNA from 1 species